rnacentral:rRNA from 1 species
UACGUAGGGUGCGAGCGUUAAUCGGAAUUACUGGGCGUAAAGCGUGCGCAGGCGGUUUUGUAAGCCAGAUGUGAAAUCCCCGGGCUUAACCUGGGAAUGGCAUUUGGGACUGCAAGGCUGGAGUUUGGCAGAGGAGACUGGAAUUCCCGGUGUAGCAGUGAAAUGCGUAGAUAUCGGGAGGAAUACCGAUGGCGAAGGCAGGUCUCUGGGCAGUUACUGACGCUGAGGAGCGAAAGCAUGGGGAGCGAACAGG